rnacentral:sRNA from 1 species
CUCGUGCGACGGUACCACCAGGUGAGGGCGGCUCUCGCGCGGGCCGCCGGGAGUUGUAGUUUUCUUUGGGAGCUGCGGGGCCUGGCGCCGGGGCCGGGGCGGAAGAAAGACUACAAGUCCCAGGGGGCGCGGCGCCACCGCCUGAGGGCGGGGUGUACGAAAGAGAAACCCGGAGGGCGCAGGGGACUGGGCUGGGGUCUGCAGGGCUCAGCUGAGCCCAUGAGCUCCCAGAGCUAACCCCUGACCACCCAGGCGGGCAAAGGGCUGAUGUCGGUAGUCCCCAUCCUGGAGGGGCAGGCUCUGCGCAUCUGCUCCUGGCAUGGCACUGCAGCACCUCGCCCUCCUGGCUGGCCUUCUCGUGGGAGUCGCCAGCAAGUCCAUGGAGAACAUGGCCCAGCUGCCCGAGUGCUGUGUGGAUGUGGUGGGCGUCAACGCCAGCUGCCCAGGCGCAAGUCUGUGUGGUCCAGGCUGUUACAGGCGCUGGAACGCGGACGGGAGCGCCAGCUGCGUCCGCUGUGGGAACGGAACCCUCCCAGCCUACAACGGCUCCGAGUGUAGAAGCUUUGCUGGCCGGGGUGCGCCAUUCCCCAUGAAUAGAAGCUCAGGGACCCCCGGGCGGCCACAUCCUGGGGCUCUGCGCGUGGCCGCCUCCCUCUUCCUGGGCACGUUCUUCAUCAGCUCCGGCCUCAUCCUCUCCGUAGCUGGGUUCUUCUACCUCAAGCGCUCCAAUAAACUCCCCAGGGUCUGCUACAGAAGAAACAAAGCUCCGGCCCUGCAGCCUGGCGAAGCCGCUGCAAUGAUCCCCCCGCCACAGUCCUCAGACGUGGGGUCUGCAGGAAAGGAGGACCCACCACGACAGGGCAGACCCCCAAUACCUGCUCCUCCUUGAAGUCCAGCUCCACCCGAGGACAGACGCAGCCGGCCUCCGCCAGGCCCUCCUGAGCAGCCAUCGCUUCAGUGGUGCUGGGUCAGGCGGACCCAA